CAGAAUUCAAUGUGGGGUAGAAAUUACGUGAGUGCCUGUCUCAUCUCCAUGAUUAGGAGCUGCUUUCAAGCAUUGUUACUCAUUGUCAUUUCAAGAAAACGAAUAACCUCUCCAGAAUGAAUGGGUGUUCAUGCGACCAAGUAUAGAAAGCUUGCACCGAAUCGCACGAAGCGAAUUUAGUUAUUGUUUUUAACGUAUAAUUCCAGCUGGUUCGAAGUCUUAUCCGCAGGGGUGGCUUAGCGGCUAUUGCAUUGCGCAGCUAAGCACGGGGUUCAAAUCUCGGCCGUGCAGCAGCGCAUUUCGAUAAAGGCGAAAUACAAAAACAUCCGUGUGCCGGGAAUUGUGUGCACGUUAAAGAACCCCAGGUGGUCUAAAUUGGAGUCUCCCACUAAGGCGUGCCGCAUAAUUAGAUCGUGGUUUUGGCACGCCAAACAUAAGAAAUCAUUUUGUUGUAAAACCGUAUACUUUCAUCUACUUGUAUUUUGUUAAUUUAACUUUUCUGUGCCAUAUAUGCAGGCCCACGCUCCCAGAGAGAAAGAAAAAGAGAAAGAAAGAAAGAAAGAAAGAAAGAAAGAAAGAAAGAAAGUUGUUGAAAUGCUUAAAUUGGAUGCUUAAAUCCUUAAAGAACAGAAAGAACAGUGCCGGCGUACGUGACCCCACCAAAUAACGAAACACGCUCUCCCUGAAGUAUUGGUUCUCGCUAUAAAUCGGCAGGUAACGAAGAAAUUGUUGGCGUGGUCAGUCUCAGUGAACGCUUCGGCAAGUUGUUCGUUGAAAGUACCCCCGAGUAUAUCAACCUCGUCUCGCGCAACUCGUGCUGCUCGUGCUACACAGGCUACCAACUGGCGUGGGAGUGGGCCCGUUACCGGUACGGAGUGCUCGGCGAGUUCGCAACCGCUGACGACAUCUGGUAUCCGGAGGACAGCGGCAACGGCACGUUUCCUGGCAGCUGCGCCAACGACUCGAUAAACGCAGCAGGCGUCCUACAGCGGGUUGACCAGCCCUGCGACCGGAUGUCCACCUGGCAGCUGAUCACCAGCAGUGACGACUUUAAAGGACUUCACUCAUUGAAGAAUAAUGAGCCAAACAUGCCAACUUUUCGAGAAAUACAACAAAAUAUCUCCAUAGGAAGACACUUGGUCAUAAUUUUUGAUGUUUCGUAUACAA